GGCGCAGUGGCAGAGUGGUCUAAUGCGCAAGACUAGAAUGUCUCUAUUCUCAGGGAAGCUAAUCUUGUUCCUUCGGGAGCGUCUGUUCAAAUCAGGCCUGCGUCG